rnacentral:lncRNA from 1 species
AAAGAUUUCACUCGAAAUGAAACAAGUGUAAUUUACUCUAUAUUUUAAAUCAAGGUAUCUUCAUCUUAAAUAUUAAUGCUAAUAAAUUAUUUAGUUUAUAGUGGUCGAGUGAUGAAAUGGUGACACUAAUUAUUCUCAAAAUAUCAGAUUCUAUUUACACAAAAUAAAGAGUGAACAUGCAAAGAUAGAAUAUGAUGUCAAUAUAUCUCAUCUUCACUUAAGUUUGAUUAUUCACCCUUUACACUUUGAUUUUAUGAACUUAGUCUUUUCUUUUAAAAUAAAACCCCUCAUCCAAAGUCCUCCUUCUGAAAUCACUUUUUUGGAACAAAAUCAUGAUACGUAGAAAACUAUUACCAACAUUUUAGCAUUCAUAAUGAUUAUUAAGUCUCGAAUUAACGAUUGAGCAAAAUCGAAUAAUGAUUAGACAGACUGUUGUCUAAAAUCUAUUGAGUACAAUACACCCACACUCUACCUACUCUUUUGAUAAUAAAAACUUUAUCCAAUCAACUCAUAAUUGAACCAUCACACCUUGUCCAAGUGAACCUUCGACCUUGCAGUGGUGGGUCCAUCAACAAAGAAUCUACAAUAAAUGUAUUAGAGUUCAUCACAUCGUCAAUUCUUGUUACUUCCACUCUGUUUUUUCCUUCAUCCGAUGAUCGGAUAGAGUUAAAUUCCCACAAAUACACUAAUUACAGUUACUCUAAUUAGUUAGUUAUCGAUUGGUUCAACUAAACCCAAUUCUCUUCUAGAAUCAUAAAAUAAUUAAUCUUAAAUAUAAUUAUUUAGUAAAAGUGUGUGAUAAAUAAUGUCCCCCAUUGUUAAAAAAGUGUAACAAAAAGUGUGUACUACUUUUUCUUCUUUUAGUUAUUGUUUUAACCACUCUUAUAUUUCAACAACAUAAAUUUUUAUAUACUUAGUCAAUACUAUAUUUUCUCUCUAUUUCUACUUUUUUUUUUUUUUUUUUUUUUUUUUUUUUUUUUUUUUUUUUUUUUUAUCAUAUAACCAGUAUAACGUAUUUAUCAUAUCAAUUUUUAUAUACCUACUUUAUUAAUAAGUGGUUAAUUAAAUGUAUGAAACAUUUAUAGAAAAAUGUUUUAAUUGCUUGUCACAAUUUAACUGUGUUUAGAUUCACUGUAGAAUAAAAAAUAACAGAGCACCUAUACACUGAUUAGAACUAGUCAAACUUAGACAGCGAAAUUUAACAUAAUUUAAGAAAAAAACGAGUUAAUCAUGUCUCUUAAAUAAUUAAUUGUUCCAUGACAGUACUUUUUCCCGUUAUCAUACAUAUAUAGUGGGUGUGAAUGAUGAAUUAUUACAUAGUGGAGCUGUGUGAGUGGUUUGAAAUUACUAGCUCACAAAUUAAUUAAGAUAAUGGAGUUCCUAAUUACACUCAUAACAUUUCUACUCUUCUUAAUACCUUCAAUCACUUCCUCCUCACAAUAUUUAGGAAACAACCUACUCACUAAUCGAAAGAUAUUCCAAAAACAAGAAACAAUUACCUCUUACGCUGUUAUUUUUGAUGCUGGUAGCACUGGAAGCCGUGUCCAUGUUUACCAUUUUGAUCAAAACUUAGAUCUUCUUCAUAUUGGUAAAG